rnacentral:misc_RNA from 1 species
UCCCACCGCCUGAGAAGGG